rnacentral:lncRNA from 1 species
AGUUCUAAUCUAAAUCGUGAAAAAUUAGACGAAUAUUUUUGUUGUUUGUCGAUAUUUACGUCUGGAAAGAAAUAUCCAUAAUAAAUGGUAGUCAAAAAGUAGAGUCAAAUAAAUGUAAAUUGAUCUCCCGUCUCCCACUUAAGUCAAGAUCACGGCUCAUUGCUAAUUACUAAGUGGCGAAGACUGUCUAGGAUGCAGGCAGAUUUCUCUCUCUCCAGAGCCUCUUCGAAGAAGCUGAGGGCUGAACGUGGGAUCUUUGAAGGAAGAGCAUGAAAUGAAGCUCGCUCCGCAGACCAAUUGCAUGCAACUGAGUCGACUCAUUUCUCCUUUUCGGUCUCUGCAUCCUCAGCACAGUUUCCUACGAAGUCGAGGCUCCCGCCCCUCCCCCGUUUCUCGCAACGAUCCAGGCUGAGUCGAAGACGAGGGAAAGGGGGCAAUGAAAUAUUUUGCCCAUUUGUUUUCCGUCGUCGAGGGAGAAGAUGGAAAGAGAAGGAAUGGAAAACGUCACGGUCUUUUGGGGCUGGUUUUUUGGAAUGGCCCCCAAUCCACAUUGAGGUAUUUAGAGGCUAUGGAUUAUUUCAAGAACGUAAGAAGAGUCCAUCUGGAUCAGACAGAGUCAUCUAUUUUAUGGAACUGGCUA